UGGGGAAUCUUGCACAAUGGGGGAAACCCUGAUGCAGCGACGCUGCGUGAGCGAUGAAGGUUUUCGAAUCGUAAAGCUCUGUCCUAUGGGAAGAUAAUGACGGUACCAUGGGAGGAAGCCCCGGCUAACUACGUGCCAGCAGGCGCGGUAAUACGUAGGGGGCGAGCGUUGUCCGGAAUUACUGGGCGUAAAGGGUUCGCAGGCGGCAAGGCAAGUCCGAUGUAAAAGGCGAAGGCUCAACCUUCGUAAGCAUCGGAAACUGUCAAGCUUGAGUGAAGGAGGUGCAAGUGGAAUUCCUCGUGUAGCGGUUGAAUGCGUAGAUAUUAGGAGGAGUACCGGUGGCGAAGGCGACUUGCAGGACUUCAACUAACGCUGAGGAACGAAAGCGUGGGUAGCAAACAGG
rnacentral:rRNA from 1 species